UUGAGAAAGCAAGGAGAUAAUUAGUUUUCAAUAAGAUGAGUAAUGUUCUAGAAAAGCUUUAGGCGUAACUAAUGUAACAUGUUGAACUCAGAAGAGUGUAACAGGGUUAAAAAGUGUGUUCAUGAAAAUUUUAUUGUGAGAUGAUUCAGUGGGGAAGAGGGUCAUGUAGGGAAAGA